UAAGACGAAGGAUCCAAGCGUUGUCCGGAUUUACUGGGUUUAAAGGGUGCGUAGGCGGAAAAUUAAGUCAGUGGUGAAAGCCCGCAGCUCAACUGUGGAACUGCCAUUGAAACUGGUUUUCUUGAAUAUAGCUGAGGCAGAUGGAAUAUAACAUGUAGCGGUGAAAUGCUUAGAUAUGUUAUAGAACACCGAUUGCGAAGGCAGUCUGCUAAACUAUUAUUGACGCUGAGGCACGAAAGCGUGGGAGCGAACAGGAUUAGAUACCCUGGUAGUCCACGCCCUAAACGUUGAUUACUCGCUGUUGGCGAUAUACUGUCAGUGGCUAAGCGAAAGCGUUAAGUAAACCACCUGGGGAGUACGUUCGCAAGAAUGAAACUCAAAGGAAUUGACGGGGUCCGCACAAGCGGUGGAGCAUGUGGUUUAAUUCGAUGAUACGCGAGGAACCUUACCUGGGCUAGAAUGCGAGUGCCUGUGUGUGAAAGCAUACAUUCCUUC
rnacentral:rRNA from 1 species